rnacentral:rRNA from 1 species
AGAGUUUGAUCCUGGCUCAGGAUGAACGCUAGCGACAGGCCUAACACAUGCAAGUCGAGGGGCAUCGGGACGUAGCAAUACGUUGCCGGCGACCGGCGGAUGGGUGAGUAACGCGUAUGCAACCUACCCGUAGCAGGGGGAUAGCCCGUUGAAAGACGGAUUAAUACCCCGUAACACAGGGGGCUCCGCAUGGAGAUUAUUGUUAAAAGGGUCAUUUCUUUUUUCAGGGGAUGGUCCGGGCUACGGAUGGGCAUGCGUUCCAUUAGGUAGUUGGUGUAGGUAACGGCUCACCAAGCCGACGAUGGAUAGGGGAACUGAGAGGUUGGUCCCCCACACUGGUACUGAGACACGGACCAGACUCCUACGGGAGGCAGCAGUGAGGAAUCUUGGUCAAUGGACGCAAGUCUGAACCAGCCAUGUCGCGUGAAGGAGGACGGCCCUAAGGGUUGUAAACUUCUUUUGCAGCGGAAUAAAGUUUGCCACGAGUUGGCGAUUUGCAAGUACGCUGCGAAUAAGGAUCGGCUAACUCCGUGCCAGCAGCCGCGGUAAUACGGAGGAUCCGGGCGUUAUCCGGAUUUAUUGGGUUUAAAGGGUGCGCAGGCGGGGAUUUAGGUCGGCGGUGAAAUUUCGGGGCUCAACCUCGACAGUGCCGUUGAAACCGUUUCUCUUGAGUGCGGAUGAGGUAGGCGGAAUUUGUGGUGUAGCGGUGAAAUGCGUAGAUAUCACAAGGAACACCGAUUGCGGAGGCAGCUUACUAAACCGUUACUGACGCUCAUGCACGAAGGCGUGGGGAUCAAACAGGAUUAGAUACCCUGGUAGUCCACGCAGUAAACGAUGAUUACUUGCUGUUUGCGAUA